AACGAACGCUGGCGGCAGGCUUAACACAUGCGAGUCGAACGCAUCGCAAGUUGAGUGGCAGACGGGUGAGUAACGCGUGGGAACAUACCCUUUUCUACGGAAUAGCUCUGGGAAACUGGAAUUAAUACCGUAUACGCCCUACGGGGGAAAGAUUUAUCGGGGAAGGAUUGGCCCGCGUUGGAUUAGCUAGUUGGUGGGGUAAAGGCCUACCAAGGCGACGAUCCAUAGCUGGUCUGAGAGGAUGAUCAGCCACAUUGGGACUGAGACACGGCCCAUACUCCUACGGGAGGCAGCAGUGGGGAAUAUUGGACAAUGGGCGCAAGCCUGAUCCAGCCAUGCCGCGUGAGUGAUGAAGGCCUUAGGGUUGUAAAGCUCUUUCACCGAUGAAGAUAAUGACGGUAGUCGGAGAAGAAGCCCCGGCUAACUUCGUGCCAGCCGCCGCGGUAA
rnacentral:rRNA from 1 species